rnacentral:rRNA from 1 species
UACGGAGGGUGCAAGCGUUAAUCGGAAUUACUGGGCGUAAAGCGUGCGUAGGAGGUUCGUUAAGUCCGUUGUGAAAGCCCCGAGCUCAACUUGGGAAUUGCAGUGGAUACUGGCGAGCUGGAGUGCGGUAGAGGAAGGUGGAAUUCCCGGUGUAGCGGUGAAAUGCGUAGAGAUCGGGAGGAACACCAGUGGCGAAGGCGGCCUUCUGGACCAGCACUGACACUCAAGCACGAAAGCGUGGGGAGCAAACAGG